AUCCAUCGAUAUUCAUUUCUCAACUAAGUAGCAAAGUAGGGAUUAGGGUCGAGAACCGGUACCAUAAGUUAAGAAGUUGAUUAAAUGACUAUUGUAUAGUUUUCUGAAAUGUGUGACUAUAAGAUACUUAAGAAGAAUAUCAUAAUUUCAUAUAAUCCAUAAUCCAUUAAAGUUGAAGUACACCUUAAAACCAAGAUUGAAAUGUCUAAAAAGAACAGUCGUUACUUGCUCU
rnacentral:lncRNA from 1 species